rnacentral:rRNA from 1 species
CAUGGUCUUAGCUUGCUAAGGCCGAUGGCGACCGGCGCACGGGUGAGUAACACGUAUCCCACCUGCCGUCUACUCUUGGACAGCCUUCUGAAAGGAAGAUUAAUACAAGAUGGCAUCAUGAGUUCACAUGUUCACAUGAUUAAAGGUAUUCCGGUAGACGAUGGGGAUGCGUUCCAUUAGAUAGUAGGCGGGGUAACGGCCCACCUAGUCUUCGAUGGAUAGGGGUUCUGAGAGGAAGGUCCCCCACAUUGGAACUGAGACACGGUCCAAACUCCUACGGGAGGCAGCAGUGAGGAAUAUUGGUCAAUGGGCGAGAGCCUGAACCAGCCAAGUAGCGUGAAGGAUGACUGCCCUAUGGGUUGUAAACUUCUUUUAUAAAGGAAUAAAGUCGGGUAUGCAUACCCGUUUGCAUGUACUUUAUGAAUAAGGAUCGGCUAACUCCGUGCCAGCAGCCGCGGUAAUACGGAGGAUCCGAGCGUUAUCCGGAUUUAUUGGGUUUAAAGGGAGCGUAGAUGGAUGUUUAAGUCAGUUGUGAAAGUUUGCGGCUCAACCGUAAAAUUGCAGUUGAUACUGGAUAUCUUGAGUGCAGUUGAGGCAGGCGGAAUUCGUGGUGUAGCGGUGAAAUGCUUAGAUAUCACGAAGAACUCCGAUUG